rnacentral:rRNA from 1 species
UAUGAAGGGGGCUAGCGUUGCUCGGAAUCACUGGGCGUAAAGCGCACGUAGGCGGAUUGUUAAGUCAGGGGUGAAAUCCUGGAGCUCAACUCCAGAACUGCCUUUGAUACUGGCGAUCUCGAGUCCGGGAGAGGUGAGUGGAACUGCGAGUGUAGAGGUGAAAUUCGUAGAUAUUCGCAAGAACACCAGUGGCGAAGGCGGCUCACUGGCCCGGUACUGACGCUGAGGUGCGAAAGCGUGGGGAGCAAACAGG